rnacentral:rRNA from 1 species
GGACACGCCGCGUGAGUGAUGAAGGUUUCGGAUCGUAAAACUCUGUGUAGGGAAGACAAGUUGGGUAUAACUGACCCAACCUUGACGGUACCUAACCAGAAAGCCACGGCUAACUACGUGCCAGCAGCCGCGGUAAUACGUAGGUGGCAAGCGUUGUCCGGAAUUAUUGGGCGUAAAGCGCUCGCAGGCGGUCUUUUAAGUCUGAUGUGAAAGCCCACGGCUUAACCGUGGAGGGUCAUUGGAAACUGGAGGACUUGAGCUUA